CGGCAACGGAUAUCUCGGCUCUCGCAUCGAUGAAGAACGUAGCAAAAUGCGAUACUUGGUGUGAAUUGCAGAAUCCCGUGAAUCAUCGAGUCUUUGAACGCAAGUUGCGCCCGAAGCCUUUAGGCCAAGGGCACGUCUGCCUGGGCGUCAUG
rnacentral:rRNA from 16 species